rnacentral:rRNA from 1 species
AACGAACGCUGGCGGCAUGCCUAACACAUGCAAGUCGAACGAGACCUUCGGGUCUAGUGGCGCACGGGUGCGUAACGCGUGGGAACCUGCCCUUAGGUUCGGAAUAACUCCCCGAAAGGGGUGCUAAUACCGGAUAAUGUCUUCGGACCAAAGAUUUAUCGCCUUUGGAUGGGCCCGCGUUGGAUUAGCUAGUUGGUAGGGUAAAAGCCUACCAAGGCGACGAUCCCUAGCUGGUCUGAGAGGAAGAUCAGCCACACUGGGACUGAGACACGGCCCAGACUCCUGCGGGAGGCAGCAGUGGGGAAUAUUGGAAAAUGGGCGAAAGCCUGAUCCAGCAAUGCCGCUUGAGUGAUGAAGUCCUUAGGGUUGUAAAGCUCUUUUACCCGGGAUGAUAAUGACAGUACCGGGAGAAUAAGCUCCGGCUAACUCCGUG